rnacentral:rRNA from 1 species
GAUAAACGCUAGCGGCAGGCCUUACACAUGCAAGUCGAACGGUAACAGAAAGAGCUUGCUCUUUGCUGACGAGUGGCGCACGGGUGCGUAACGCGUAUGUAACCUACCCAUAACUGGAGAAUAGCUCAGAGAAAUCUGAAUUAAUACUCCAUAACAAUUGUUUUUCGCAUGAUUAACAAUUUAAAGCUUCGGUGGUUAUGGAUGGACAUGCGUGACAUUAGCUAGAUGGUAAGGUAACGGCUUACCAUGGCUACGAUGUCUAGGGGGUCUGAGAGGAUGGUCCCCCACACUGGUACUGAGACACGGACCAGACUCCUACGGGAGGCAGCAGUGAGGAAUAUUGGUCAAUGGACGAAAGUCUGAACCAGCCAUGCCGCGUGAAGGAUGACGGCCCUACGGGUUGUAAACUUCUUUUAUUUAGGAAGAAACCUUCUCACGUGUGAGAAGCUGACGGUACUAAACGAAUAAGCAUCGGCUAACUCCG